UAAGCUUUAUAAAAUUGCACAUAUAUUAUCGACAUGAAAAUCGUUUUAUUCGCGAAUUCGGGGAAUCCCAGCGAUGCGUCAAAGUUUAGAAGUGAAGAGAAUAUGACAGAUAUCGAUUUUUACGAUUAUCGAUUAUUCCCCAUUUGUUAUUAAAGGCAAACAAACAUCAAUAAGGUUAUGUUAUAAAUCUAUAAUUAAUCAGGGUUUCUGAUUUAUGGGUUGUAAGAUUAAAUUAUUAUCCAUAAUAUACACGAAGAGAUUUCUCUGGGAUUGGGUUCUACCAUUAACCAUAAUAAUAUUACUAGAAUAUUAGAUAACCAUAAAUGUUCGAUUUUUGAUUUGGUGUCUCGCUUGUCAACAAUAAUCGAUUCGAAUCAAUCAGUGUUUCGAUCAUUUUUAAUUUUGACCAUUUCGGACAUUUUUCAAUUUGGGAGUACAAUGCUAGAAGUGUACAAUAUUUUCCGUAUAAGGAUUGUCCAAUUUUGGGCUUUGCUCGUAAAAAGUAACAAAAAAAUACUGGAUCUACUCGCGGAAGACAUCCUGAAAUUACCCAGAGGCAGUACGCUUGCGCAUUAGCUGUUCUGAUGGAAAAAGUCGACCUUAUCCAAUGCCCAAUUUUGUAAUGCGCAUGCGCAUAUUGAAAAUAUAUAGGGAAUUCUAGGGUAAAAAUGGUUGUCAACUUGUUAGGGAAAUCUAGGGAUAUUUUGACAAAAAUUCUAGGGAAUUAAAAAAAAAAUCAUCUGGCAACCCUG
rnacentral:lncRNA from 1 species